rnacentral:lncRNA from 1 species
AGCGCGAUCUUGAGCGCCGCUCGCCGGGUUUGGAUCGGCAAUGCUCUCCAGCUCCGAGGUCAUGUACUUGUGGAAGGCGUAGAUCGGGAAAUACCACUCGCCAGGCGGCGGCAGUGGCGCAUUCUCGCAUUCCUUGUCUCUGCCGCCCAGCUCCAUGAGGGCCUUCCUCUUGCCGCGCAAGAUAUCCAGCAGGAGCAUCCAAAGCUAUAGACAUCGGCCUUGGGGGUGAUGGAUUGGCUCUCGAGCCACUCUGGAGCGAGGUAUCCCCUGGUUCCUUGCACGGUGGUGAUGCUCAUCGAUUCUUUUCUCAUCAUCCUCGCCAGCCCAAAUUUGGACACCUUUGGCCGGAGCUCUCGUCCUGCAGCACGUUUUGUGGCUUGAUAUCGAUGCGCUCGCCACACUUCUCGUGGAGGUAUGUCAAUCCUUUGGCAAUCCCCAGCGCGAUUGAGUGUCGUGUCUCCCAGGUUGAGAAGAUCUCUUGCGAGGCGGCGAAUGAGGACGAGGCCGAGAGGUGGUGAUCGAGAGAACUGUUUGCCAUGAACUCGUAGACGAGAAGGUGGCGGUCUCCCUCGGCGCAGUAGCCGAGGAGGCGGAGCCAAGUUGACGUGGUGUACUCUUCCAAUCGUGCUCACCUCGGCCUUGAAUUGCUUCUCGGCCUGGUUCACGGUGGUGAUGUUCUUCAUGGCCAUGUUUCCUCUAUACACGCUCCCGAAUCCUCCCGAGCCUAACUCUUCGAGCGACUUGAUGGUCGAGUCAAAGUUGUAAUCGUUAAAGUAGUAGUCUGCUCGAUUCACGUGGACGAGCUUUACCGAGAUUGGGGAGUUUUGACAAGCUCCCGGUAUGUCGUAGUCACAUCCCUUCGAUUCGUCGUUUGGAUCAACUCGGUGAAAGCCAGGAGCACAGCUGCAAGUUUUUGUGGGCCUGUAGGUGCAGAGAACGAAAGGUCCACAUGUUCCAAAGAUGUCGCACUCGAGCAUGACGGCUUGCCAGACGACGCUCCAGGAGCCACUCUUGUUCUUCGGGCCGAAGCUGUAGAUCCCGAGAUUGCCAUCGUCGUCCAGC